rnacentral:rRNA from 1 species
AUUGAACGCUGGCGGCAGGCUUAACACAUGCAAGUCGAGCGAGCGGCGGACGGGUGAGUAAUGUCUGGGAAACUGCCUGAUGGAGGGGGAUAACUACUGGAAACGGUAGCUAAUACCGCAUACCAUCAGAUGUGCCCAGAUGGGAUUAGCUAGUAGGUGGGGUAAUGGCUCACCUAGGCGACGAUCCCUAGCUGGUCUGAGAGGAUGACCAGCCAACCCGGGACUGAGGCACGGUCCAGGCUCCUACGGGAGGCAGCAGUGGGGAAUAUUGGAACAUGGGGGCCAGGCCGAUGCAGGCCUGCCGCGUGUGUGGAGGAGGCCCUCGGGUUGGAAAGCACUUUCAGCGGGGGGGCGUUACUCGGAGGAGAAGCACCGGCUAACUCCGUGCCAGCAGCCGCGGUAAUUC